rnacentral:misc_RNA from 1 species
AAAAAAUGUACAGCAAUUUUAUAUUUCUUGUGCUGCUCGUGAUAAGCUUGUCCAUGUCCUUGCCCUCUUGAAGCUUGAGUUGGUCCAGAAAAAAGUCUUGAUAUUUACAAAUUCAAUUGACACGAGUUUUAGACUCAAACUAUUCUUUGAGCAGUUUGGGAUCAAGUCUGCAGUUUUAAAUGCCGAGCUGCCUCAGAGUUCUCGUCUACACAUCCUUGAGGAAUUUAAUGCUGGGCUAUUUGAUUACUUGAUUGCGACUGAUGAAAGUCAAUCAGAAGGAAAGGAAAAAGUUGAUGAUCAAAAUGGCAGUGAGCGAAAAAAAUCAAAAAAACAUCGAAAGCAUAAAUUGGAUGCAGAGUUUGGUGUAGUCAGAGGGAUAGACUUCAAAAAUGUGCAUACGGUGAUAAAUUAUGAGAUGCCUCAAACAGCUGCAGGCUAUGUACAUCGAAUUGGACGUACUGGAAGAGCAUAUAAUACUGGAGCAUCUGUCUCUCUUGUCUCUGAUGAAGAGACAGAAAUAUUUGAAGAGAUUAAAUCUUUACUGGGGGAAAAUGAAGACAAGGUGUCACAGUUUAUUGCUCCAUUCCCAUUGCUGAGUAAAAAUGCAGUAGAGUCUUUGCGUUACCGAGCUGAGGAUGUUGGAAGGAGUAUUACAAAAAUUGCAGUAAGAGAAUCACGGGCUCAGGAUCUGAGGAAUGAAAUUCUUAAUUCUCAAAAAUUGAAGGCUCAUUUUCAAGAUAAUCCAAAAGACUUAGAUCUUCUGAAGCAUGAUAAGAUGUUAAGCAAGAAAGCACCUGCCGCUCACCUACGUGAUGUACCUGACUACCUAUUAGAUCCAACGACACAAGAAGCUAGCAAGAUUGUGAAGCUGGCCAGAGCUGCAAUGGGCAAUACUAAUCCAUCUCGUGGCAAAGGAUCAAAGGGAAGGUUCAAAAGAAGCAGAGACCCUCUUAAAACAUUUUCAGCUGAGGCACCUAAGCGAGCAGGGAAAGGCGGGAUGAAAAGAAAGGUAAAAGAUACCGAUAAUGGCCAUUAACAUUAAAAGGAACACCCUGCCUAGUUGUUUGAUACAAGGAAUUGUAGUUUAUACGAAAUUUGAAUUAUAUUUAUCAAUCAA